rnacentral:rRNA from 1 species
CAAAUCGUACCCCAAACCGACACAGGUGGUCAGGUAGAGAAUACCAAGGCGCUUGAGAGAACUCGGGUGAAGGAACUAGGCAAAAUGGUGCCGUAACUUCGGGAGAAGGCACGCUGAUAUGUAGGUGAAGCCCCUGCGGGUGGAGCUGAAAUCAGUCGAAGAUACCAGCUGGCUGCAACUGUUUAUUAAAAACACAGCACUGUGCAAACACGAAAGUGGACGUAUACGGUGUGACGCCUGCCCGGUGCCGGAAGGUUAAUUGAUGGGGUUAGCGGUAACGCGAAGCUCUUGAUCGAAGCCCCGGUAAACGGCGGCCGUAACUAUAACGGUCCUAAGGUAGCGAAAUUCCUUGUCGGGUAAGUUCCGACCUGCACGAAUGGCGUAAUGAUGGCCAGGCUGUCUCCACCCGAGACUCAGUGAAAUUGAACUCGCUGUGAAGAUGCAGUGUACCCGCGGCAAGACGGAAAGACCCCGUGAACCUUUACUAUAGCUUGACACUGAACACUGGUCCUUGAUGUGUAGGAUAGGUGGGAGGCUUUGAAGCGUGGACGCCAGUCUGCGUGGAGCCGUCCUUGAAAUACCACCCUUUAAUGGCUGGUGUUCUAACGUAGACCCGUUACCCGGGUUGCGGACAGUGUCUGGUGGGUAGUUUGACUGGGGCGGUCUCCUCCCAAAGAGUAACGGAGGAGCACGAAGGUUAGCUAAUCCUGGUCGGACAUCAGGAGGUUAGUGCAAUGGCAUAAGCUAGCUUGACUGCGAGAGUGACGGCUCGAGCAGGUGCGAAAGCAGGUCAUAGUGAUCCGGUGGUUCUGAAUGGAAGGGCCAUCGCUCAACGGAUAAAAGGUACUCCGGGGAUAACAGGCUGAUACCGCCCAAGAGUUCAUAUCGACGGCGGUGUUUGGCACCUCGAUGUCGGCUCAUCACAUCCUGGGGCUGAAGUAGGUCCCAAGGGUAUGGCUGUUCGCCAUUUAAAGUGGUACGCGAGCUGGGUUUAGAACGUCGUGAGACAGUUCGGUCCCUAUCUGCCGUGGGCGCUGGAGAAUUGAGGGGGGCUGCUCCUAGUACGAGAGGACCGGAGUGGACGCAUCACUGGUGUUCGGGUUGUCAUGCCAAUGGCACUGCCCGGUAGCUAAAUGCGGAAGAGAUAAGUGCUGAAAGCAUCUAAGCACGAAACUUGCCCCGA